UAAAAAACGUUUGUAAAGUUCAAUCAGGUCUAUGCUUUUACGAUGAUUGGUAUAUUAACGCGCUCAACCAGGCGUGAUUCCACUGGUGAAUCAUGUUUUCUAAGAAGGAAACCUCGUUAUAUAAGUUCUAAUGACGUUACGAAGAUGUGCAA